UGAAACCAUUUCAAGUGAAAACUACUUUAUGCAGCAAAUGCUGGAUUUGAUUUAUCAAUGUUUCGUGGGUUUCAUCUUUCUUUUAACUACUUCUGAAACUAGCUAUGAGUUCAACAGCAACCAAGAGUGGAUUAGUCAUCAUCUUUCUCUCCAUGACAGGUAAUAAUCUUUCUGUUCUUCAAAUCCACAGAGAAAGAGAGAUGGAGAGAAAAAAGAAUUACCAAAUAAAACAUAUUUACAACUUUAAUGCCAGUAAUGAUAGUGAUGUUUGUGGGGCAGUAGGAAAAGCAGGGUUUGACAAAAAUAACUACUUGUAAAGAGGAUGAAUGGGGAACAGCGAUAAUGUUAAGGAAAGCGUCACAAGCAAUGAUUAAGAGGAAGUAAAGAUGUAGUGUUGGUGUCUUUGAAGUAAAGUAAAAUUGUAUUCAGUAGAAAGAGUGUUCUGGUCAAGGCCUAUGGUGGCAUAACUGAGAGCAAGUCAAUUCAUCAAAAAUGAAAGUUUUAAACCUGAUUUUAAAAGUACAGGGAUAUCCUCUAAUCUGGACUUGAGUCCACAAUCUCCACCAUCCAUAGACUUUAAGGUACCGCACAAAGACACUCUGUAAAUGCAAUGUUCUAGUCUGGUUGGAGGAAACUACAAUAAGGAGUGGGAUUUUAAAUACUAUUCUUCAUUUUAUUGCAAGCGCAGAGAAUGAACUGCCAAGGAGCACAGUAAAUAUAUAACCUUUUUUUGCUUUUGGAGAAAAAAGGCACAAAAAUACUAGAGGACCAGGGGAGUCUUAAUUUAAUCAAAAACAGACUCUGUUUGCAGAACCAGCAGUUUUUUUCGCCACAAUUCGUAUUGUUAUUUGCUAUGAUUGAAUCACUUUUUGAGUUUUUUAGUGGAUUUUAGUUUUGCAGUCAGGUCAGCGUCUCAGCGACUCAUUUAUCACCAUACAUCUGCAACAACCCUGUCUGUUCCUCUUUAUUAGGUGUUAGGUUUCCAUGCUGAUGCUGCAUUCACAGCACUUAUCUGAUCCAUAUUUAUUUACUUUCAAAAUUUUUCAACCAGAUUGAAAAUCUGUGGGAUUGAUUAGCCUCAAUCCACUGUUUAUAUAGGUGCAAAAUCAAAUAAUCCGAUCAUGACGGUCAUAUACAUGCACCAAGUUUUAUUCAGAUUAGGAGCAUUUGCACAUGUGCAGAGUUGUCUGGUUUCGCUAAAACAACCGCGGAAGAAGAAUUGUAUUUAUGCCUGUGCUGUCAACAAACCAACAAAUGUGGGAGUGGCUCACUCCAUCCAAUCCAGGAUUCCCCCCCCUGUUAAAUGUUGUCACUAGAUGGCGCCCUUGCGUACUUAUUUUACUGUUCUGCCAAAGGUUGCACUGUGCGUGCAAAUGUGACAUCAUCACGCUGUUUGUACGCCUUGUUAUGUUUCCAGAGGGGCAGACACAGCACCUCCGGUUGUGUUUUAUGCCAGAGUGUUAAUAGUGAAACUUCAUGUACUGGCCUCAGUAAAUAAACCAAAAGCUGAAAAGUGAAGAUCGAGUCAAGUAAGAGAGUCACAAUCGGAAAAAGUGUUUACGUGGAUGCAUUUCGGAAUAGCGAUCGGCCUAAACCACCCCUCUUGAUCGGAAUACAGUUUCUUUCCGAAUGAGCUGAAUUGGAUCAGAAUCUUCCGAUCGACAUGUUUACAUGACGCAUUGUUAUUCUGAUCGUGCAUUUAUUCCGAUUAUUUGUGCCCAUGUAAACGCAGCUAUUGAGUAUUAGCUUCUGUACAGUUUCUCACACUUCUGCAUUCAUUUUUAGAUACACACUUGACUGGGCAGCUAACUUUGCACAGAGAAAACUUUCACAGAACAGCACAAUCUGUUAAAUAAUUUACACUGUUAAUGCUGCUGUUGGGUUAGAAAAAUGUUAAUGUAUAUAGACGUCUGUAAAUUUUCUGCAUGGAGAAAUCUUCUGUCUUCUAUAUUUUGAUAAGCUUUUUAAAAUCUGAGAGAAAACUGUUUCUAAACUGAGAAAAAAACUGACAAAAAUAUCUUACAUGUGAUUGUUAUAUUGAGAUGAUGUCGGACUGCACCUCAAUGAUCUGGUUCAGAUUUAUUUAUUUCAUGUUCAGUCUUGAACUUUUCCUGGUCUGGUUAAAUUGACUGUGUUCUCUGAUUUUUGUGUUUUAGUGGUUCAGCCUCAGAACGGCUGGGAGGUGACUUACUCUACAGCUCAAAUCUCUGUCUCUAGAGGAUCAACUGCGGAAAUAAGCUGCAACUUUAAGUACCCAAAAACAAUGGAGAGGAAGCAGAACAAACUCUUAAAAACAUUUUGGUUUAUUAGGAAAAGUGGUGAUGAGUUUCUAAAUAUUGAAACAGACUCAGAGUAUUCAGGUCGUGUGAAGACCACCUGUGAUGGGACCAGAUCCACCCUAACAAUCACAAACCUGACAGGGAGUGACUCAGCUGAAUACAUGUUCAGGAUGGAGACAAGCUUUGACAAAUAUUUUGGCAGCGGAGGUGUGACCUUGUCUGUCAGAGGUAAAGUUUUCUCUGAAAUUUUUCAUCUUUUAUCUUUUUUAAAAUCCUGUAAAUGAUUGUAUCAUGUGUAUGUUUAUGUGGAAAGUACUGACAGUUUUAUCUGAUCAGAUGUCCAGAUAAUGGUGAGCAGACCAGGUGGGCAUUUGCAGUUGAAGUGUCUCAGCCGUUGUCGUCAAGAUUUUCGAUACAUUUGGUUCAAGAACGGAGAGAAGAUUAAGAAC